CUGUUGACACGGAAGCCACCCAUUGGCCACUGUUGACCCUGCUCUGCCACAGCUGUAGUCGUGCGGAUCAAGCAGAUAUGGGACCUGCCGCAUGGAUUGACCAAUUACCAGCCGACCCGUGGACCCCCCGAGUAACCAUCUACGGACCCCCAAGAGGUCCAUGGAUCCCCAGUUAAGAUCCUAUGGUGUAGAACUUCAAACACUCCUGGACACAACUAUACUCUAUUCAGUUUUCAUCCGAUCACGGUCAGACGCUUCCUCCACCUAGGCAGCUCAUGAGACUAGCAAUGCGGAACGAAGCCACGCCCAUGCGCAGAAGUCUGCAGCCGAGGUACGAUCUCAUUCUGAAUAGAGUAUAGUGAGUAGUAUUCAUCUACCCGCGAAUUGUGAUAGCCCCUAAUAGGUGAUUGUAGACUCGGCUCGAGGAAAACAAAUGUUCAAAAGGUUUAUUGUUGUGAACUUGGCCUAGUUUUUUUUCAGAGGUCAGAAGACAUCACGGGAAGGAAUUUACAUUAUAAUCCUCCAUAGCUUUUAAAAUCGAAUUUCAAUCAUUAAUUUGUUUACGAAAACAUGACAAAAAUACAACGGAGUACGCGCGGAACUACGGACUGUCUGAAUAAGCUGAUAUCAUUAAUUUUUUUUUUUAUGACAAACGAUUAUUAAUAUAUUUUAAAUUGUCGUUUUUUUAUCUUUGUACGUGUUAUUUUUUGCCUUUGUCUUUUUCACCGAUUACCACCCUAAACUAAGAUAUUGAUUAGAUACCACAUAUUUUGUAAAUCGUGUAUAUCGUGUAUAAUAUUAUAGCCAUAGCAUGAAGUUUUAGUUUUCCCCCCAUAAUCGUCCGUCCAGAAAUGCCAACCGAACACGGUCACCGAUGUACAAUAUUUAAUCGAGUCGAUACCCAUGUCUGUUCGAUGUUGACGAAUUCGAUUUUCGAAGUUUUUCAUUUUUACGGACAAUCGACUUAGUUGUCUUUAAAAAUUGGACGGAGGAAUGAAUAAAAAAAGACCAAAAUAUUUUACACAUCACUGGAAACACGCAUCGCAGCCAGCGCCUUUUAAUAUCCUCGAUUCUCCGCCACAACGAUGGGGCUGCAGGCUGCAGCAGCCUCACUACAAAUUUUUACUGCGAGAUAAAAAUGUGUAAAAAAAAAUCGCGAUUUUAUCGAAGAACUCGUCCACCUCCGACCGAGCGUUUCGGUGGGGAGGGGGCGAGAGAGAGGAGGGCAAACAUCGACUCCUCGUACAAUUAUUUAUGUAUUUACGU